CACCCACACACACACACAAAUCAACAGCCAACAAAGACGAUGGAUUAUUGCCUUUUUUUUUUUUUUUUAGAUGGAGUUUCGCUCUGUCACCCAGGCUGGACCUGACCUCAUGAUCUGCCCGCCUCUGCCUCCCAAAGUGCUGGGAUUAUAGGCGUGAGCCCCCGCGCCCAGCCCAUUGUCUUUUUUUCUUUAAGUGUCUUGCUACGUUAUCCAGGCUGAUCUCCAACUCCUGGGCUCAAGCCAUCCUCCCACCUCAGCCUCGGUCUCUUAAGGUCUGGAGGAAGGCAAUGGCAGCCGGUGUGGAGAGGAGGCUGGAUAGACUCCGAUGGCGUUUCUGGGCUGGACAUGGCAGGAUCUUGCUGUAGUGGAUAAAGGCUGAGAGGAUUCUGUUUAAAGGGUGUACACUGUGAAUCACAGUUGAAAGGAAGACGGCAAAUAUGAACCUCAGCCAAGCAAUUUGUGAAGCUGGAUCGCUGCCAGAAAUCCAGGAAGCAGCAGAAAAACAACAAACAUGAAAAGAGUCCAGGGCUGUGUGUAACCUGGAGGAAUGCAGUGGGCUGAGCCCCAGGAUGAGACCGGUGAUGAGAGGGAGCAGAGGUUUGAGG
rnacentral:lncRNA from 13 species